CCGAAUCGAACCGAACAAGACAAAUCGAUGUGAUUUUUUUGAUAUUUGGUGCAGUGCAGUUUUAGAUUUUAAGAAAUUUUGAUUUUCGGUUCGGUUUGAUUUGAAAUCGAUGAAAAAUCGAAAAAAUUGAACUGCACCGAAUUGUUUAAUCUUAUCUCUAUUUCUUAAUAUUCAUUUCGGCCACCUCCCUUUUCAAGGGUCCGACAGGAUCGGAGGGCGGCACCCGAGCUCUAAACAUGCUCCGGCACCGAUGGUCACGGAGAGACAUGGUCGGAAGAGAACAAUCCGGCUUAGAUCGAAAAGCAUGAAGAAGAGGGAGCGGCCCA
rnacentral:lncRNA from 1 species